CCGGAGAGGGAGCCCGAGAAACGGCUACCACUUCCAAAGGAAGGCAGCAGGCGCGCAACUUACCCUAAUCUCGAUUCGAGGAGGUAGUGACAAGAAAUACCGAUGCGGGACCCUACGGGUGCCGCGUUCGGAAUGAGUACGAUUCGAACCACCUAACGAGGAACGAUCGGAGGGGCAAGUCUGGUGCCAGCAGCCGCGGUAAUUCCAGCUCCAAUAGCGUACGUUAAAGUUGCUGCAGUUAAAAAGCUCGUAGUUGAACGUUCGGGUUCCGCGGGACGGGGCCGCCCCGCGAGGGACGGCGCCGCCCCGGGGCUCGUGAUAUCUCAUCUCGCCGCCCGUCGCGAGGCGGACGGAGGGAUGGAUGAGGGUUACCUGGAAAAAAUCGGGGCGAUCUAGGCGGGCGAACCUCGCCAACGAACGAUCGGACAUGGGAUAACGGAAGAGGGCGUCGGCUCGACUUCGUCGGUUCCUCGGGCCGAGGGCACGUACGGUGAAUAGGGACGGUCGGGGCCGCCGUACCGGGUCGUGAGAGGU
rnacentral:rRNA from 1 species